rnacentral:rRNA from 1 species
AUUGAACGCUGGCGGCAUGCCUUACACAUGCAAGUCGAACGGCAGCACGGGUGCUUGCACCUGGUGGCGAGUGGCGAACGGGUGAGUAAUACAUCGGAACAUGUCCUGUAGUGGGGGAUAGCCCGGCGAAAGCCGGAUUAAUACCGCAUACGAUCCACGGAUGAAAGCGGGGGACCUUCGGGCCUCGCGCUAUAGGGUUGGCCGAUGGCUGAUUAGCUAGUUGGUGGGGUAAAGGCCUACCAAGGCGACGAUCAGUAGCUGGUCUGAGAGGACGACCAGCCACACGAGGACUGAGACACGGCCCAGACUCCUACGGGAGGCAGCAGUGGGGAAUUUUGGACAAUGGGCGAAAGCCUGAUCCAGCAAUGCCGCGUGUGUGAAGAAGGCCUUCGGGUUGUAAAGCACUUUUGUCCGGAAAGAAAUCCUUGACUCUAAUACAGUCGGGGGAUGACGGUACCGGAAGAAUAAGCACCGGCUAACUACGUG